rnacentral:tRNA from 1 species
GCAUUAGUAGCUCAGUCUCAGAGCUCCGGUCUUGUAAGCCGGCUGCCGAAGGUUAAACUCCCUCCUACUGCU